AACGAACGCUGGCGGCAGGCCUAACACAUGCAAGUCGAACGCCCUAACAAUAGGGAGUGGCGCACGGGUGAGUAACGCGUGGGAACGUGCCUUUCAGUCUGGAAUAGCUGCGGGAAACUGCAGCUAAUACCGGAUAUUCUCUACGGAGGAAAGAUUUAUCGCUGAAAGAUCGGCCCGCGUUAGAUUAGGUAGUUGGUGGGGUAAUGGCCUACCAAGCCUACGAUCUAUAGCUGGUCUGAGAGGAUGAUCAGCCACACUGGAACUGAGACACGGUCCAGACUCCUCCGGGAGGCAGCAGUGGGGAAUAUUGGACAAUGGGCGCAAGCCUGAUCCAGCCAUGCCGCGUGAGUGACGAAGGCCUUAGGGUUGUAAAGCUCUUUUGUCAGGGAAGAUAAUGACGGUACCUGAAGAAUAAGACACGGCUAACUUCGUGCCAGCCGCCGCCGUAA
rnacentral:rRNA from 1 species